AACGAACGCUGGCGGCGGGCCUCAUACAUGCAAGUCGAGCGCGAAAGUCCGCAAGGAUGAGUAAAGCGGCGCACGGGUGCCUAACACGUGGGUAAUCUACCUAUUGGAUAAGAAUAACCUGUCGAAAGACGGGCUAAUACUCAAUAAGUUUGCGGGUUCGUAAAGUUCCUGCACAGAAAGCUGGCGCAAGCUAGCACCGAUAGAUGAGCCUGCGUCCCAUUAGCUAGUUGGCGGGGUAACGGCCCACCAAGGCUACGAUGGGUAGCUGGUCUGAGAGGAUGAUCAGCCACACUGGAACUGAAACACGGUCCAGACUCCUACGGGAGGCAGCAGUAGGGAAUAUUGCGCAAUGGGGGAAACCCUGACGCAGCCACGCCGCGUGAGUGAGGAAGGC
rnacentral:rRNA from 1 species